rnacentral:lncRNA from 1 species
AACUGGUUUACGUCUGUUCUUUGUGUUGCUAUAGACUUGUUGUUUGGGUUUGUGUUAUCUUUUUGAUCUGCAGGACUAAUAGUAAAAGUCUGUAGCUUCAGUUAUAGACUAAGAUUACUACUCUGCCAGAAGUAGUGAAUAAAGAAUCAACUGGGUGGGAUGAAUCACGUUUCACUUGUGCUGCCCAGGCUGGAGUGCAGUGGCACUAUCUUGGCACACUGUGGCUUAUGUCACGGGUUCAAGCGAUUCUGCUGUCUCAGCCUCCCAAGUAUGGAUUACAGACAAUGCUAGGAGCCAGAAACAUGAGGAAUACAUGAGCUCGGCGCCAAUGGAACAUGCUUUCACACCGGGUGCAGCUAACCACCACAUCAUACAAAACUCGUCGCUGACGUUUUAGAUGUAUAAUCUGAUUGGCAUGGACUCACAGAGGAGGGAGUAAGGGAAGAGUAAGAAGAUUUCAAAGGAGAGACACAGGUUGCAGGUUAGCAGGAGAACAGGCAAGCCAAAUGCAAAGGAGCCACUUCAGAAAUGUGUCACAGAAAAGU